ACGGCCAUCACACGUUGAAACACCGGUUCUUGUACGAUCACCGAAAUUAAGCAACUUCGAGCUUGGUCAAUACCUAGAUGGGUGACGGCCUGGGAAUACCAGGUGCUACA
rnacentral:rRNA from 1 species